rnacentral:rRNA from 1 species
UGGCGGACGGGUGAGUAAUGUCUGGGAAACUGCCUGAUGGAGGGGGAUAACUACUGGAAACGGUAGCUAAUACCGCAUAACGUCGCAAGACCAAAGAGGGGGACCUUCGGGCCUCUUGCCAUCGGAUGUGCCCAGAUGGGAUUAGCUAGUAGGUGGGGUAACGGCUCACCUAGGCGACGAUCCCUAGCUGGUCUGAGAGGAUGACCAGCCACACUGGAACUGAGACACGGUCCAGACUCCUACGGGAGGCAGCAUG